rnacentral:misc_RNA from 1 species
GGACGCCGGGCGUGCCGAACGUUUCUAGCAGGAGCGAAAGAUCAGCUUCGAGCGAGACUUCAGGCGGCUGAGUUGACGAGUUGCAGGACGCACCGAUGCAUGGGCACCAGCAAGACAAGCAGAACCCGCCAAAGU